rnacentral:lncRNA from 12 species
AGUCCUUAUAGGAUACAAACCCUUAAAAUACAUUGCCAAAAUAAUCUGGCACAGCAAGUACUGCAGCUCAAUGGGGUAGCUGAUUUGAGUUGACCUUGACAGGGUUCUGAUAGUCCUACUCCACAGAAAACUUCAUGAGACAUGGUACCUAUGUGCAACACACACCACACACACACACACACACACACUUUUCCCAUCUAAGGUGUUAAAUGCUAUACUUUAACAUCUAAUAAUACUAGAAGGGUGUUAUUGAGAUGAACAAAGUUUAGUGCUACUUACCGAUCCUACAUAUAUGGUCCUUUGGAAUGAUGAGAUUAAAUAUUUUAAAAAGAAUUCUUAAUCCAUUAGCUACUCCUACCUAACAUUAACAUUAUAAACACUCAUGUCUAUUCAUAUAUUUGAAGCAGUGUAAAAGAAAAGCUAAAUCAGAGAGGUUAAAAAGGAGAAGAGAUCUACCAAAAGAAAAGUCAUCGGUUGAACUAAUUCACAGCAUGCAGUGCUUGAGGGUAUAAAGGCUCAGGGUUGACUCUGAGGAAGCCAGGCUGGUAUAGUAAAAAGAGUAUGCUCUAGAGUACGGUGGGGCCAGAUGGACCUGUCUCAAACAGUUUCUUCACAGCUCAUGAGCAGUGUAACCUGAGGUCAAGUCCUUACCUUCCUGAAACUUGGCCUCUUCUCCAAAAAAUGACAAUAAUAGUAAUUAAGUGUGGUUGUGAGGAUUCCUGAGAGAACAUACGUGGAGAGCCUCACUCAAUGCUUAGGCUUAUCCUGUAUUACACAUUAAGAAUCCUUCUCCCUCCUUCUGUGCCCCACCCCUUUUAGCAGGAAUAGCAGUGAUAAAGAAUUUGAUGCCCCAGAUGAGAAGAAUACUCUCGGGAUACCAUUCAUGGGAAGAAAAAAAAAAAAAAGAUGCUUCUUCAUCUAACCGAGGGCCAGGAGAAUGGUGUCUUUAAAUAUUACUUAUCCCAGCCAGGUUUUUGAAAGAUAUUACAGCUGAUAAAGGGGUGGGGAGAAGAAACAAGAAUAUACACCAUGAAGAAACUCAGGUACUCUAUGCCACCAUCUGAAAGAAUAAUCAUUAUUCCGGAAACAAGUAAGUAGUAUGAAAGUCAUUCUCUGCACCUAAAAAUAGUUACUCCUUCAAAGGCUAUGUAACUCUACUCUACCAUUUUACACUGGUUAAAUGAACAAACAAGUGCUCUUUGGUAAAACUAAAUAAUUGGAAAUCAAAAUAGUGAAAUGCUGAAAUCACCAUCUUCAAAUUAGCAAUGGCUAUUUUUAUGCUAGGUUUUGAUUUGAGGAGAAAGGGAAAAAAGUAUAUUCUAAUCUACUUCCUAGGAACAGCUGUAAUCAGCAGAUGCUUAUAAUGACAAAACUCAAGUAAUUAAACAUCUACAUUUAAAAAUCUGUUCAACGGGGGUGCCUGGAUGGCUCAGUCAGUUAUGCAUCUGACUCUUGAUUUCGACUCAGGUCAUGAUCUCAGGGUGGUGAGAUCGAGCUCUACAUAGGGUUCCACACUCAACAGGUAGUCUGCUUGAGACUGUCUCUCUCCCUCUCCUUUUGUCCUCCCCCCCCCCAAUAAAUAAAUAAAAUCUUUUUACA